rnacentral:rRNA from 1 species
UACGGAGGGAGCUAGCGUUGUUCGGAAUUACUGGGCGUAAAGCGUACGUAGGCGGUUACUCAAGUCAGAGGUGAAAGCCCGGGGCUCAACCCCGGAACGGCCUUUGAAACUAGGUAGCUAGAAUCUUGGAGAGGUCAGUGGAAUUCCGAGUGUAGAGGUGAAAUUCGUAGAUAUUCGGAAGAACACCAGUGGCGAAGGCGACUGACUGGACAAGUAUUGACGCUGAGGUACGAAAGCGUGGGGAGCAAACAGG